GUCUAUGGCCAUGCCACCCUGAACAAGCCCAAUAUCUGAUCUUGGCAGCUAAGCAGAGUUGGGCCUGGUUAGUACUUGGAUGGGAGAUCACCUAGGUGCUAUAGGCA
rnacentral:rRNA from 1 species